rnacentral:rRNA from 1 species
UACGUAGGGUGCAAGCGUUGUCCGGAAUUAUUGGGCGUAAAGAGCUCGUAGGCGGUUUGUCGCGUCUGCUGUGAAAACCCGAGGCUCAACCUCGGGCCUGCAAUGGGUACGGGCAGACUAGAGUGCGGUAGGGGAGAUUGGAAUUCCUGGUGUAGCGGUGGAAUGCGCAGAUAUCAGGAGGAACACCAAUGGCGAAGGCAGAUCUCUGGGCCGUAACUGACGCUGAGGAGCGAAAGCAUGGGGAGCGAACAGG